CAGGUAGCUCAGUUGGUAGAGCAGAGGACUGAAAAUCCUCGUGUCGCUGGUUCGAUUCCGGCCCUGGG
rnacentral:tRNA from 1 species